ACUGCAGGCAGAGACAGGGAGAAAUGUCCCCAUGAAGGCUUGGCACAGUCUUUGCAGGGCCGCGCCCAUCCCUGCUUUGCAACCUGCCUGCCUUUCCCUCGAGAAUCCUCCCAGCAUCCAGCGCCAAGGCCCAACCAACCCCCACUCUCUGCCUCCCAGCUAUUUUGCUUCUCUCCUCCCGCACCACUCAGCAAGUACUUACUGAAAUCAAACAAAUGGAAUGUAUGGGCCUGAUUUGAACUCCAAUUAAAACAAAUUUGAAUGCUAGACAUUGGAAAGAAUCAUUAAUCUCUGCAGAUCUCCAAACCCAGGAAAAUCGGGGGACUUCUUGCCAGUCCCCUUCAGCUCCAGAUCAUAUGAUUCUCCUAACCCCCCAGAACUGACACUGUUCUCUAGCUGUGGGUCCUGAUACCUUAGGAUAAAUGACUCAAGCUCCUUGCUUAGCAAGACUCACCUGGAGAAAGUUAAGAUCAGGCUUUUGAGCUGUCUCCUGGAUCUGGCUGCUGAGCUUGGACAGCUGGGUGAUCUCACUCCCGAGCUGGGCCAGGUUCUCAUUCUGCUUCUGUGUCACUUCCCGGGACAGUUCCUCCAGGCGACCCAGCAGCCGGCCCUCCUGCUCCACUAGGAAGGCCCUCAGUGCCUGGAACUCUGCCCCCACCUUCUCCUGCUCCGCUGCCAUCUGCUUCUGUCUCAGGAAGAGAAAUUGGAGAGAUGUGCCUGCACGUCUGUGGAUCUGGGCUCCACCACCUAAACCAAGGUAGCAUCAUACUCUACCUAGAAGUACGCCAACCUGCAGGUUCCUUACUUGAAAAGUAGAAGGGAGGCCAGGUGUGAUGGCUUACACUGGUAAUCCCAGCACUUUGAGAGUCCAAGGCUGGAGGAUCACCUGAGAUCG